rnacentral:rRNA from 1 species
CCUACGGGUGGCAGCAGUGAGGAAUAUUGGUCAAUGGCCGAAAGGCUGAACCAGCCAAGUCGCGUGAGGGAAGACGGCCCUACGGGUUGUAAACCUCUUUUUUCGGGGAGCAAAGAGAGUCACGUGUGACGCAUUGAGAGUACCCGAAGAAAUAGCAUCGGCUAAUUCCGUGCCAGCAGCCGCGGUAAUACGGAGGAUGCGAGGGUUAGCCGGAUUUAUUGGGUGAAAAGGGUGCGCAGGCGGAGGUGCAAGUCAGCGGGAAAAUGGCGGGGCUCAACCCCGUACUGCCGUUGAAACUGCAUCCCUUGAGUGCGGGAGAAGUAUGCGGAAUGUGUGGUGUAGCGGUGAAAUGCAUAGAUAUCACGCAGAACUCCGAUUGCGAAGGCAGCAUACCGGCGCGCAACUGACGCUCAUGCACGAAAGCGUGGGUAUCGAACAGGAUUAGAUACCCUUGUAGUC